UACGUAGGGUGCGAGCGUUAAUCGGAAUUACUGGGCGUAAAGCGUGCGCAGGCGGUUUUGUAAGCCAGAUGUGAAAUCCCCGGGCUUAACCUGGGAAUGGCAUUUGGGACUGCAAGGCUUGAGUGCGGCAGAGGAGACUGGAAUUCCUGGUGUAGCAGUGAAAUGCGCAGAUAUCAGGAGGAACACCGGUGGCGAAGGCGGAUCUCUGGGCCAUUACUGACGCUGAGGAGCGAAAGCGUGGGGAGCGAACAGG
rnacentral:rRNA from 1 species